rnacentral:rRNA from 1 species
GGAAGGGGGGGGGGGGCGCCUAUCAUGCAAGUCGAACGAAGUAGCAAUACUUAGUGGCAGACGGGUGAGUAACAUGUAGGUAUCUUCCCAUUGGUGAGGAAUAACACGAGGAAACUUGUGCUAAUACCUCAUAAGUCUUUACGGAGAAAGCUUUAUGCGCCGAUGGAUGAGCCUGCACUUGAUUAGUUUGUUGGUAGGGUAAUGGCCUACCAAGACAAUGAUCAAUAGCUGAUUUGAGAGGAUGAUCAGCCACAUUGGGACUGAGACACGGCCCAAACUCCUACGGGAGGCAGCAGUAGGGAAUCUUGCACAAUGGGGGAAACCCUGAUGCAGCGAUGCCGCGUGAGUGAAGAAGGCCUUUGGGUUGUAAAGCUCUUUCGUCGGGGAAGAAAAUGACUGUACCCGAAUAAGAAGGUCCGGCUAACUUCGUGCCAGCAGCCGCGGUAAUACGAAGGGACCUAGCGUAGUUCGGAAUUACUGGGCUUAAAGAGUUCGUAGGUGGUUAAAAAAGUUGGUGGUGAAAUCCCAGAGCUUAACUCUGGAACUGCCAUCAAAACUUUUUAGCUAGAGUAUGAUAGAGGAAAGCAGAAUUUCUAGUGUAGAGGUGAAAUUCGUAGAUAUUAGAAAGAAUACCAAUUGCGAAGGCAGCUUUCUGGAUCAUUACUGACACUGAGGAACGAAAGCAUGGGUAGCGAAGAGGAUUAGAUACCCUCGUAGUCCAUGCCGUAAACGAUGUGUGUUAGACGUUGGAAAUUUAUUUUCUGUGUCGCAGCGAAAGCAAUAAACACACCGCCUGGGGAGUACGACCGCAAGGUUAAAACUCAAAUGAAUUGACGGGGACCCGCACAAGUAGUGGAGCAUGUGGUUUAAUUCGAAGAUACGCGCAGAACCUUACCAACACUUGACAUGUUCGUCGCGACUUUAAGAGAUUAAAGUUUUCGGUUCGGCCGGACGAAACACAGGUGCUGCAUGGCUGUCGUCAGCUCGUGUCGUGAGAUGUUGGGUUAAGUCCCGCAACGAGCGCAACCCUCACUUUUAGUUGCCAUCAUUUAGUUGGGCACUCUGAAAGAACUGCCAGUGAUAAGCUGGAGGAAGGUGGGGAUGACGUCAAGUCCUCAUGGCCCUUACGUGUUGGGCUACACACGUGCUACAAUGGCAUUUACAAUAGGAAGCAAGACGGCGACGUUAAGCAAAUCCUAAAAAAAUGCCUCAGUUCGGAUUGUACUCUGCAACUCGAGUACAUGAAGCUGGAAUUACUAGUAAUCGCGGAUCAGCGCGCCGCGGUGAAUACGUUCCCGGGUCUUGUACACACCGCCCGUCACACCAUGGGAGUUAGUUCUACCUUAAGGCAAAGUUUAAUACCUUGACCCACCGUAAUUACGGGG